GACGAACGCUGGCGGCGUGCCUAAUACAUGCAAGUCGAACGGUUUAGUUCCAAGAGGCUUGCCUUUUGGAACUAGACAGUGGCGGACGGGUGAGUAACACGUAGGCAACCUACCUGUCAAACCGGGAUAACCUCGGGAAACCGAAGCUAAACCCGGAUAAGCUCCUUUUUCGCAUGAAGGGGGAGUGAAAAGGUGCGACCUGAUGACAGAUGGGCCUGCGGCGCAUUAGCUAGUAGGUAGGGUAACGUCCUACCUAGGCGAUGAUGCGUAGCCGACCUGAGAGGGCGUACGGCCACACUGGGACUGAGAUACGGCCCAGAAUCCUACGGGAGGCAGCAGUAGGGAAUCUUCGGCAAUGGGCGAAAGCCUGACCGAGCAACGCCGCGUGAGUGAGGAAGGCCUUCGGGUUGUAAAACUCUGUUGUUUGGGAAGAAGGGAAAGGGUAGGACCCUUAGGUGACGGUACCAAACGAGAAAGCCCCGGCUAACUACGUG
rnacentral:rRNA from 1 species